rnacentral:tRNA from 1 species
GGAGACGUGGCCGAGUGGUCGAAGGCGCUCCCCUGCUAAGGGAGUAGGCGGGAAACCGCCUCGUGGGUUCGAAUCCCAUCGUCUCCGCCA